rnacentral:misc_RNA from 1 species
AGUGGCGGCAAGCCAGGGUGG